AGAAUCAACGCUGGCGGCGUGCCUAACACAUGCAAGUCGCACGAGAAAGGGGAGCAAUCCCUGAGUACAGUGGCGCACGGGUGAGUAACACGUGAAUAAUCUACCUCCGAGUGGGGAAUAACUGAGAGAAAUCUUAGCUAAUACCGCAUAAUACCCACGGGUCAAAGCAGCAAUGCGCUUGGAGAGGAGUUCGCGGCAGAUUAGUUAGUUGGCGGGGUAAUGGCCCACCAAGACGAUGAUCUGUAUCCGGCCUGAGAGGGCGCACGGACACACUGGAACUGAAACACGGUCCAGACUCCUACGGGAGGCAGCAGUGGGGAAUUUUGCGCAAUGGGGGAAACCCUGACGCAGCAACGCCGCGUGGAGGAUGAAGCCCCUUGGGGUGUAAACUCCUUUCGAUCGGGAAGAUAAUGACGGUACCGAUAUAAGAAGCCCGGCUAACUUCGCGCCAGCAGCCGC
rnacentral:rRNA from 1 species